AGUGGUGCUCAACGAGAUUGAACACCAAGGGGCUCUCAUGAGGGACCUAUAUGACCUUAUCCUACCAACACUUGAUCCCUGUAGUAGGCAGGAGAAGCUUGUUCAGCAAAUCUUUCAAGAUAUAUCCAGUUCCUCAGGUAAGGUCCUCUCCUUUCUCGAACUUGGUGAUAACAGUAAGAAGCAGGCCAAUCUUAUCAAACAUAGAAGAAAACGUGGUAAGAAUAGCGGCGUGGAGAGCCACAUGCUGGGGGAGGAAGCUAAAGAAAUUGGAAAUAAAAGAAGGUGUGUAGCAAAAGAAGUUUAUAUAUAUAUGUUUACUUGUGUGUCAUUUACUGGGGCUUAAAAUAGUUACCCCUUCUCUUAGGAAGAAUGCACAACACACAGGUUCAAUUGUGACACAAGCACCGCACUUCGAUGGAUAUAAAUGGAGGAAGUAUGGGCAGAAGUGGAUCUCCAAAGCAAAGCAUUCUAGGUAUGUAAUAAAACAUAUGUGUUGACGUAUUUCAUAUAUUGUAAACUGAAUUCGGGUCCUCGUGUGUGUGUGGAUGUUAUGGUCACUAGAUCGGUGAGGGAUUGGAGAGGGGUAUCGAUGGGCAGGAACGUCGGCCAGGGGCCUUUGCCCACGGCCAAGCAAGAGGAGGGUUUGUCCCUUCUAAUUCUUGCCUGCUUUAUUUCUCAUCCAUUGAUUACAUAAAUAGGCCAGCUGGCCGUCCCUAUCUAGCUAGAGAUCCUUAGCUCCUAAAAACUCUCAACAAACUACUAACUGAUAACCUUCCUAGAUAAUCUCAACUAAUCUCCUAAAUAAUCUCAACUAAUCUUCUAAUCUUAUCUCUAACUAUCCUUAUCUAAUCCCCCUUGAGGGCCCAUGGCUGCUGCUACCGCAGCCCCUCCGUGGGCCUCCUUAGGCCCUGACAGUGGCUGGCUGAUUAGCUUUGUGCACAUAUAUACUAGCUCAAAACUGCAGUCAUUCUCAUCUAUGUGGAUGGAUAAUAUUUUGCACAUUUUUGCCUUUUGCGUAUAAUAACAAAUAUAAAAAUAUACAUAUAAUGAGGUCAUGCUUAAUCAGGAGCUACUAUAGAUGUGCCAAUAGUAAAGACCAAGGGUGCCUUGCAACCAAGACAGUUCAACAGAAGGAAUCAGAUGGAAGCGGGACAGUGAGCUUGUUCGACGUUGAAUAUUACGGCCACCACAUUUGCAAGAAGGAUGUCGUCAACCAUCCGUGUGUUGUUGACACAGCACACUAUUACAGUGUGCCGAUUGCCAAUCAGAACCAAAGCAGUAGCAGCCCAACGUUUGUUCACAAUGAUGUCUAUGGAAUCCAGGAUGAAAGCUUUGAAAACCUGUUCAUGGUGCCGAGCAUACCAGAGUAUCUGACAGAUUUCACAGACAUUGAAAUGGCGGGGGCACUUGAGGUUACCUCCGAGAUGAUCUCUGAAAAUAUAUGGGCGUACGAGAUGAUCUCUGAAAAUAUAUGUAGACAGCCAUUGAUUGCACCGUGAGGUGUGACAAGAAAGAGACACGAGUAUGUUAUGUGUGUACUGUAGAGAGUAUAAUAUGUGAGACAAGAAAAGAAAAUGGACGUGCAGAGAGACAGAAAUUAUGUCUCAAAAGUUGUAAAUGCUGUCCCGCAUGGUAGAAUGUUGGUGUGCCAAUGUCUAGACUUUCACUUUGAGUUGCAAUUGUAACCAUCUCACUUCCAGCAGCCUCUGUAAGGCACAUCCUGCAAAGUCUUCAUAGCAGGUAAAGUGUCCUGGAAUAGUAGCUUAUAAUAAUAAUUUGUUGGCAUUUGACGGAGAGCACUAGAAACAUGGGGAAACAGUAAUAAUUAGCAUGACAAAUGGCAUGCCAGUCAAGAAAACCUCGAUCUUCAGUCACAAUUUCUCACAUUGAUAUGACACCUAGCAAGCUUUGCUACACCCUCCAUAGCGAGUUAGCAACACAGGCUGCUAUCCGGCCAGUUCGUGACUUGAUCCAUCUGUAGCUGUACUGUACUGAGCCAACUCUAAACUCCCCCCAGAAAUAAAUAAAUAAAUAUCUGACUGAAUAUAAACUGGUGGUUCGGAGGAAACAUAAAAGCAUCCAAAUUCCAAACCAACAUGAACGAAUGAACAUCUGGCUGAAUAUGAUUGGUGAACCGGAGGAAACAUACACAUCCUCGUCGAUUUGGAAUCUACUCAGAAUUGGAUGGUUCUGCUAUACGUGGCCAGAAGUAUCCUGCAAACUAGAGGCCCCAGGUGGUCUCACUGAGAGGUGAUGACGAGAGGUUCACGCCGCACUGGAGCGUAUGGUACUGCUAUGCCGGUGGAAUGCGGCGCUUCUGUUGGCCUCUGGCCUCUGCUGUGGCCGGCCGAUGUGUGUGUGUGUGUGGAACGGAGAAAACGAUGGCCACUCUCGGUACGGUUUUGCCGGACAGCUCAGCGCCCCCGGUUUUUUGAGACUUUGGCAGGAAACCCAAAAGGAAGAGACAAAAAAGGGUUGACCUGGGGCUUGGUGGAACUGCAUCUGUCCCAGUACGGUGAUCGAUCGCCCACGAAGCCACGGCCGCCGUCGCCGGAGCCGGAGCCGAAGCCGAAAAAGCCCUCGAUGUUUUUUGUUGUUGUUGGUUUGGACUUUGGAGGAUGGACCUGGCAUCUGAUCUGGCACCGGGACAGAGAGAGAGAUGCAUAGCUGGG
rnacentral:lncRNA from 1 species